rnacentral:rRNA from 1 species
AUUGAACGCUGGCGGCAGGCUUAACACAUGCAAGUCGAGCGGGGUGAUGGUGCUUGCACUAUCACUUAGCGGCGGACGGGUGAGUAAUGCUUAGGAAUCUGCCUAUUAGUGGGGGACAACAUCUCGAAAGGGAUGCUAAUACCGCAUACGUCCUACGGGAGAAAGCAGGGGAUCACUUGUGACCUUGCGCUAAUAGAUGAGCCUAAGUCGGAUUAGCUAGUUGGUGGGGUAAAGGCCUACCAAGGCGACGAUCUGUAGCGGGUCUGGGAGGAUGAUCGGCCAGACGGGGACGGGGACACGGCCCAGACUCCGACGGGAGGAAGCAGUGAGGAAUAUUGGACAAUGGGGGGAACCCUGAUCCAGCCAUGCCGCGUGUGUGAAGAAGGCCUUAUGGUUGUAAAGCACUUUAAGCGAGGAGGAGGCUCUUUUGGUUAAUACCCAAGAUGAGUGGACGUUACUCGCAGAAUAAGCACCGGCUAACUCUGUGCCAGCAGCCGCGGUAA